rnacentral:snRNA from 1 species
UCAGCGUCUCAGCCUUUUGGCUAAGAUCAAGAAUUUUUGGUACCAAGGGAGGGUGUCAGGACUGACUCUGGCCCUCCCAGGACUGGCUUGGUAUUGCAGUACCUCCAGGCCCAGUGCCAGUUCU